rnacentral:rRNA from 1 species
GAUGAACGCUGGCGGCGUGCUUAACACAUGCAAGUCGAACGGAAAGGCCCAAGCUUGCUUGGGUCCUCGAGUGGCGAACGGGUGAGUAACACGUGGGUGAUCUGCCCUGCACUUCGGGAUAAGCCUGGGAAACUGGGUCUAAUACCGGAUAGGACCACUUCUUGGAUGUUGUGGUGGAAAGUUUUUUCGGUGUGGGAUGAGCUCGCGGCCUAUCAGCUUGUCGGUGGGGUAAUGGCCUACCAAGGCGUCGACGGGUAGCCGGCCUGGGAGGGUGUACGGCCACAUUGGGACUGAGAUACGGCCCAGACUCCUACGGGAGGCAGCAGUGGGGAGUAUUGCACAAUGGGCGCAAGCCUGAUGCAGCGGCGCCGCGUGGGGGAUGACGGCCUUCGGGUUGUAAACUCCUUUCGCUAGGGACGAAGCGUUUUUGAGACGGUACCAGGAGAAGAAGCACCGGCUAACCACG